rnacentral:rRNA from 1 species
AUUGAACGCUGGCGGCAGGCCUAACACAUGCAAGUCGAGCGGAUGAAGGGAGCUUGCUCCUGGAUUCAGCGGCGGACGGGUGAGUAAUGCCUAGGAAUCUGCCUGGUAGUGGGGGAUAACGUCCGGAAACGGGCGCUAAUACCGCAUACGUCCUGAGGGAGAAAGUGGGGGGUCUUCGGACCUCACGCUAUCAGAUGAGCCUAGGUCGGAUUAGCUAGUUGGUGGGGUAAAGGCCUACCAAGGCGACGAUCCGUAACUGGUCUGAGAGGAUGAUCAGUCACACUGGAACUGAGACACGGUCCAGUCUCCUACGGGAGGCAGCAGUGGGGAAUAUUGGACAAUGGGCGAAAGCCUGAUCCAGCCAUGCCGCGUGUGUGAAGAAGGUCUUCGGAUUGUAAAGCACGUUAAGUUGGGAGGAAGGGCAGUAAGUUAAUACCUUGCUGUUUUGACGUUACCAACAGAAUAAGCACCGGCUAACUUCGUG